rnacentral:rRNA from 1 species
CGUCCGGCGACCGGCGCACGGGUGAGUAACACGUAUGCAACCUGCCCGUGGCAGGGGGAUAAGCGGGGGAAACCCCGUCUAAUACCGCGUAACGCGGCCUUGGGGCAUCCCAAGGCCGCCAAAGGGAGCAAUCCCGGCCACGGAUGGGCAUGCGGCGCAUUAGCUAGUCGGCGGGGUAACGGCCCACCGAGGCGACGAUGCGUAGGGGUUCUGAGAGGAAGGCCCCCCACACUGGUACUGAGACACGGACCAGACUCCUACGGAAGGCAGCAG